ACUAACUAGGAUUUCCCUAGUAGCGGCGAGCGAACCGGAAAGAGCCCAGCUUGAAAAUCGUGAGGCUUUGCGUCACGAAUUGUAGUCUGGAGAAGCGUCCUCUGCAGCGGACCGGGCCCAAGUUCCCUGGAACGGGACGUCAGAGAGGGUGAGAGCCCCGUCGAGCUCGGACCCUGCUGCUCCACGAGGCACUGUCGGCGAGUCGGGCUGUUUGGGAAUGCAGCCCUAAGUGGGUGGUAAAUUCCAUCCAAGGCUAAAUAGUGGCAGGAGACCGAUAGCRAACAAGUACCGCGAGGGAAAGAUGAAAAGGACUUUGAAAAGAGAGUUAAAGAGUGCUUGAAAUUGCUGGGAGGGAAGCGAAUGGAGGCUGCGGGUGCACCCCGGUUGGAUGCGGAACGGCGUUUCGCUGGUCCGCCGCUCAACGCGGGGUGGUGGUCAGCGUGGGCUAGCCCGGCGGGACAAGAGGUAGCUUUAUGUUGCUGGCUUAUGCCGUUGGGGUGGCCGAGGAAGGAAGCGCGCGCCUUCGGGCGGCCCUCGGGACCUGCGCGCUCGGGACGCUGGCGUAUUGAGCUUUCCAUCCGGCCCGUCUUGAAACACGGACCAAGGAGUCUAACAUGUAUGCGAGCCGGUGGGUGGCAAACCCAGGGAGGCGCAAGUAAGCUGACAGGUGGGAUCCGCAAGGAGCACCAUCGACCGACCAUGAUCUUCUGUGAAAGGUUUGAGUGCGAGCAUACCUGCUGGGACCCGAAAGAUGGUGAACUAUGCCUGAGCAGGGCGAAGCCAGAGGAAACUCUGGUGGAGGCUCGUAGCGAUACUGACGUGCAAAUCGUUCGUCAGACUUGGGUAUAGGGGCGAAAGACUAAUCGAACCAUCUAGUAGCUGGUUCCCUCCGAAGUUUCCCUCAGGAUAGCUGGAGCUCAUGUGCGAGUUUUAUCAGGUAAAGCGAAUGAUUAGAGGCAUCGGGGGUGAAACACCCUCGACCUAUUCUCAAACUUUAAAUGGGUAAGCCGUCGGGGUUGCUUGAUUGAACCCCGACAGAGAA
rnacentral:rRNA from 1 species